rnacentral:rRNA from 1 species
AACAGGAUUAGAUACCCUGGUAGUCCACGCCCUAAACGAUGUCUACUAGUUGUCGGGUCUUAACUGACUUAGUAACGCAGCUAACGCGUGAAGUAGACCGCCUGGGGAGUACGGUCGCAAGAUUAAAACUCAAAGGAAUUGACGGGGACCCGCACAAGCGGUGGAUGAUGUGGAUUAAUUCGAUGCAACGCGAAAAACCUUACCUACCCUUGACAUGUCAGGAAUCCUGGAGAGAUCUGGGAGUGCCCGAAAGGGAACCUGAACACAGGUGCUGCAUGGCUGUCGUCAGCUCGUGUCGUGAGAUGUUGGGUUAAGUCCCGCAACGAGCGCAACCCUUGUCAUUAGUUGCUACGAAAGAGCACUCUAAUGAGACUGCCGGUGACAAACCGGAGGAAGGUGGGGAUGACGUCAAGUCCUCAUGGCCCUUAUGGGUAGGGCUUCACACGUCAUACAAUGGUACAUACAGAGGGCCGCCAACCCGCGAGGGGGAGCUAAUCCCAAAAAGUGUAUCGUAGUCCGGAUUGUAAUCUGCAACUCGACUGCAUGAAGUUGGAAUCGCUAGUAAUCGCGGAUCAGCAUGUCGCGGUGAAUACGUUCCCGGGUCUUGUACACACCGCCCGUCACACCAUGGGAGCGGGUUUUACCAGAGAUAGGUAGCUUAACCGCAAGGAGGGCGCUUACCACGGUAGGAUUCGUGACUGGGGUGAAGUCGUAACAAGGUAACC